rnacentral:rRNA from 1 species
CCCCUAGAUGUUCUGGGCCGCACGCGCGCUACACUGAACAGUUCAACAAGUCUUAACCUUGGCCGAUAGGUCUGGGUAAUCUUUGAACGCUGUUCGUGAUUGGGAUAGACCUUUGCAAUUAUGGGUCUUCAACGAGGAAUUCCUAGUAAACGCAAGUCAUCAGCUUGCAUUGAUUACGUCCCUGCCCUUUGUACACACCGCCCGUCGCACCUACCGAUUGAAUGCUCCGGUGAAAUCUCGGGACGGCGGCUUGGUCGCUUGCGUCCGACUGCUGAAACUUGAUUAAACCAUNUNAUUUAUNGGAAGGUGAANUCGUANCA